AUGCAAGUCGAACGCGUUGGCCCAAUUGAUUGAUGGUGCUUGCACCUGAUUGAUUUUGGUCGCCGACGAGUGGCGGACGGGUGAGUAACACGUAGGUAACCUGCCCAGAAGCGGGGGACAACAUUUGGAAACAGAUGCUAAUACCGCAUAACAACGUUGUUCGCAUGAACAACGUUUAAAAGAUGGCUUCUCGCUAUCACUUCUGGAUGGACCUGCGGUGCAUUAGCUUGUUGGUGGGGUAACGGCCUACCAAGGCGAUGAUGCAUAGCCGAGUUGAGAGACUGAUCGGCCACAAUGGGACUGAGACACGGCCCAUACUCCUACGGGAGGCAGCAGUAGGGAAUCUUCCACAAUGGGCGCAAGCCUGAUGGAGCAACACCGCGUGAGUGAAGAAGGGUUUCGGCUCGUAAAGCUCUGUUGUUAAAGAAGAACACGUAUGAGAGUAACUGUUCAUACGUUGACGGUAUUUAACCAGAAAGUCACGGCUAACUACGUGCCAGCAGCCGCGGUAAUACGUAGGUGGCAAGCGUUAUCCGGAUUUAUUGGGCGUAAAGAGAGUGCAGGCGGUUUUCUAAGUCUGAUGUGAAAGCCUUCGGCUUAACCGGAGAAGUGCAUCGGAAACUGGAUAACUUGAGUGCAGAAGAGGGUAGUGGAACUCCAUGUGUAGCGGUGGAAUGCGU
rnacentral:rRNA from 1 species